rnacentral:rRNA from 1 species
AUGCAUGCAAGUCGUACGCACGCGCUUCGGCGCGUGAGUGGCGCACGGCUGAGUAACACGUGGGAACCCGCCCUCCGGUGGGGGAUAACGCGACGAAAGUCGCGCUAAUCCCGCAUACGUCCGCAAGGGGAAAGCGCUUCGGCGCGCCGGAGGAGGGGCCUGCGGCCCAUCAGGUGGUUGGUGGGGUAACGGCCUACCAAGCCGAUGACGGGUAGCUGGUCUGGGAGGAUGACCAGCCAGACUGGGACUGAGACACGGCCCAGACUCCUACGGGAGGCAGCAGCAAGGAAUUUUCGGCAAUGGGCGCAAGCCUGACCGAGCAACGCCGCGUGCGGGAUGACGGCCUUCGGGUUGUAAACCGCUUUUCGGGGGGACGACUACGACGGUACCCCCGGAAGAAGCCCCGGCUAACUCUGUGCCAGCAGCCGCGGUAAGACAGAGGGGGCGAGCGUUGUCCGGAGUUACUGGGCGUAAAGCGCGCGCAGGCGGUGGUCUCAGUGUCGUGUGAAAGCCCCCGGCUCAACCGGGGGAGGUCAUGGCAAACUAGACGACUGGAGCGGCGGAGAGGCCCCUCGAAUUGCCGGUGUAGCGGUGAAAUGCGUAGAGAUCGGCAGGAAGACCAAGGGGGAAGCCAGGGGGCUGGCCGCUGGCUGACGCUGAGGCGCGACAGCGUGGGGAGCAAACCGGAUUA